GAUGAACGCUAGCGGCAGGCUUAAUACAUGCAAGUCGAGGGGCAGCAGGUCUGUAGCAAUACAGACGCUGGCGACCGGCAAACGGGUGCGGAACACGUACACAACCUUCCUUUAAGUGGGGGAUAGCCCAGAGAAAUUUGGAUUAAUACCCCGUAAAUUAUGAGAUGGCAUCAUUUUAUAAUUAAAGCUCCGGCGCUUGGAGAUGGGUGUGCGGCUGAUUAGGAGUUGGUGAGGGUAACGGCCCACCAAGCCUGCGAUCAGUAACUGGUGUGAGAGCACGACCAGUCACACGGGCACUGAGACACGGGCCCGACUCCUACGGGAGGCAGCAGUAAGGAAUAUUGG
rnacentral:rRNA from 1 species